rnacentral:pre_miRNA from 1 species
CCCAACUGCAGGGCUGCCAUGGUAAAUUUUUCCUGUGAGCAGUUCAUCAGUUUGGC